AGUGAACGCUGGCGGUAGGCCUAACACAUGCAAGUCGAACGGCAGCACAGUAAGAGCUUGCUCUUACGGGUGGCGAGUGGCGUACGGGUGAGGAAUACAUCGGAAUCUACUUUUUCGUGGGGGAUAACGUAGGGAAACUUACGCUAAUACCGCAUACGACCUACGGGUGAAAGCAGGGGAUCUUCGGACCUUGCGCGAUUGAAUGAGCCGAUGUCGGAUUAGAUAGUUGGCGGGGUAAAGGCCCACCAAGGCGACGAUCCGUAGCUGGUCUGAGAGGAUGAUCAGCCACACUGGAACUGAGACACGGUCCAGACUCCUACGGGAGGCAGCAGUGGGGAAUAUUGGACAAUGGGGGAAAGCCUGAUACAGCCAUACCGCGUGGGUGAAGAAGGCCUUCGGGUUGUAAAGCCCUUUUGUUGGGAAAGAAAAGCAGCAGGUUAAUACCCCGCUGUUCUGACGGUACCCAAAGAAUAAGCACCGGCUAACUUCGUG
rnacentral:rRNA from 1 species